GUGUGUAUAUGUGCAUGCAUGCAUGUGUAUGUGUAUUUUUUAUUUAUUUUUUCCUCAUAGGACUGCAUUUUCUGCUUUUCUUUGCUAGCAAAGUCAUUUAUGGCUUCCUUGGCGGUAUGUCUUUUAAUACCCAUCUUUCUGUUUCGUCUGUUCCAGAUUAUUGGUAACUUGCUUUAUUAUCGAUACAUGAAUCCAGCCAUUGUUGCUCCUGAUGCCUUUGACAUCAUUGACCUGUCAGCAGGAGGCCAGCUUACCACAGACCAACGCCGAAAUCUGGGCUCCAUUGCAAAAAUGCUUCAGCAUGCUGCUUCCAAUAAGAUGUUUCUGGGAGAUAAUGCCCACUUAAGCAUCAUUAAUGAAUAUCUUUCCCAGUCCUACCAGAAAUUCAGACGGUUUUUCCAAACUGCUUGUGAUGUCCCAGAGCUUCAGGAUAAAUUUAAUGUGGAUGAGUACUCUGAUUUAGUAACCCUCACCAAACCAGUAAUCUACAUUUCCAUUGGUGAAAUCAUCAACACCCACACUCUCCUGUUGGAUCACCAGGAUG
rnacentral:sRNA from 1 species